UCUAAGGAUGAUCUUAGCAGCAAGACUUUUGUCUUACUCGUAGAUCACUUAGCAUGAUAUGUCCUUUGCAUAUCAAAACAUCAGUCCAUCUUUUGAUGGGCUUGGGCCGAGCCGUCCUCAUAUCUCUUCAGAAAUUGCAAGCCUUUGGCUUGUAUCAGCCGCCUGAUUGGACCACCACCGGCCCUUUCGGCAGACUUGUUUUGCAAGUCACCUGUCGGGCGUUGUCGAUCUUGUUACGCAAGAUCCACUGGGUCGGUAGCUCAGGUGGUUAGAGCGCACGCCUGAUAAGCGUGAGGUCGGAGGUUCAAGUCCUCCUCGACCCACCAUAUAUUACACCCUUAAAGGGGGCGUUAGCUCAGCUGGGAGAGCACCUGCUUUGCAAGCAGGGGGUCAUCGGUUCGAUCCCGAUACGCUCCACCAAGGACUUAAGUUUGAAAGUUAAGCAACUUGUGUUGUUUUGCUGUCCAACUUGGACAUUGAUCAGCCUUUGGGCUGACUUGACAUCGUAAAGAGAGAUACAAACAUCAGAAUUACUGAUGCGCCAAGUACGGUGUAUCGUGAUGUUGUUUGGCAUCAUGUAAGGGGGGUAGGAUUUAUCUUAUUCUUUUGUCGCGCUGCCUUUUAUAGCAACAGUUCACAAAGUAAUUUUGUUCCAAGUUAAGUACAAUUAUACCUGAGUAAUUCCGCAAGGUUUUACUCAUCGUCGCUGCUCUAUCCGGGCAGUGGCGGCACGAAUGUUGCCCCCUCUUUGAACCAGCGGGGGCCCAUGGGAAUAAUUUUGUAUGACUUUUGGUUCAGAAUUUAGUCAUCUUCGGAUGAUGUUGGCAGGACAUGCAAAAGGCCUGUCUUCUUCUG
rnacentral:tRNA from 1 species